rnacentral:rRNA from 1 species
UACGGAGGAUCCGGGCGUUAUCCGGAUUUAUUGGGUUUAAAGGGAGCGUAGGCGGGUUGUUAAGUCAGUUGUGAAAGUUUGCGGCUCAACCGUAAAAUUGCAGUUGAUACUGGCAUCCUUGAGUACAGUAGAGGUAGGCGGAAUUCGUGGUGUAGCGGUGAAAUGCUUAGAUAUCACGAAGAACUCCGAUUGCGAAGGCAGCCUGCUGGACUGUAACUGACGCUGAUGCUCGAAAGUGUGGGUAUCAACCAGG